rnacentral:rRNA from 1 species
AUGGAGCUAUGGAGGCUUAUCCAGAUGACACCGCCGCUGAGAGAUGUGGAGGACAGUUUCACUUGGAGACUGAUGGCAUCCGUGAAAUACACAACCAGCUCGGCCUACCAAGCUUUUUUCUUCGGUACAGAGGAAGCGGACUAUGCUAGUGUGCUAUUGAAGAAUGCUGCCCCUCCCAAGGAACAGUUCUUCACAUGCCUUGCUGCGGAGUUCAUCGACCAUCUCAUGGUGCAGUGCUCGUUUGCCAGACAUUUCCGGGGUUUUUUCCUCCGUGGCUUCAGACUUGGGAGCUUAACUCCAAAUAUGAACAUCAACGCGAGAGAACGGUGGUGCUCGAUAAGCAACAGGUUCGGACUAAGAAAGGAACGCCAGGACUCUCUCCCCUCUCCCUCCCGCCGUGCUCCCACGAGCACCUGGGGGAACCCUAAUCGCCGCUGCCCCUCACCUCCUCCCUCUGUUCCUCCCCUGCCGCCGCACAACAGUGCCGCCGGGCAAAGCCUUCGUCUCCCCUCCGUGCGAGAUCCAUGGCUGGCGUGGGUCGGCCGCUCGUCCCGGGGAGGGGGCCAGCGGCGUUGA